rnacentral:rRNA from 1 species
GACGAACGCUGGCGGCGUGCUUAACACAUGCAAGUCGAACGGAAAUGCCCUGCUUUUGUGGGGUGCUCGAGUGGCGAACGGGUGAGUAAGACGUGAGUAACCUGCCCUUGACUUUGGGAUAACUUCAGGAAACUGGGGCUAAUACCGGAUAGGAGCUCCUGCUGCAUGGUGGGGGUUGGAAAGUUUCGGCGGUUGGGGAUGGACUCGCGGCUUAUCAGCUUGUUGGUGGGGUAGUGGCUUACCAAGGCUUUGACGGGUAGCCGGCCUGAGAGGGUGACCGGCCACAUUGGGACUGAGAUACGGCCCAGACUCCUACGGGAGGCAGCAGUGGGGAAUAUUGCACAAUGGGCGGAAGCCUGAGGCAGCAACGCCGCGUGCGGGAUGACGGCCUUCGGGUGGUAAACCGCUUUCGCCUGUGACGAAGCGUGAGUGACGGUAAUGGGUAAAGAAGCACCGGCUAACUACGU